GAUGAACGCUGGCGGCGUGCCUAAUACAUGCAAGUCGAGCGAAGCGGGGACGGGCGAGUAACACGUGGAUAACCUCCUACAAGACUGGGAUAAAUUCGGGAAACCGGAGCUAAACAGGCUACUUAAAGAUGGAUCCGCGCGGCAUUAGUUAGUUGGUAAGGGAACGGCUUACCAAGGCAACGAUGAAUAGCAUACCUGAGAGGGUGAUCAGCCACACUGGAACUGAGCCACGGUCCAGUCUCCUACGUGAGGCAGCAGUAGGGAAUCUGCCGCAAUUGGCGAGAGCCUGACGGAGCAACGCCGCGUGAGUGAUAAAAUUCUUCGGAUCUUAGUACUCUGUUAUUUGGGAAGCUGUACCUAAUCAGUAAGCCUCGGCUAACUCCGUGCCAGCAGCCGCGGUAAUUC
rnacentral:rRNA from 1 species